GGAGGCGCCGCACAAAAGGUAGUGCAGCGGCGUGCUAAGCCGCCGGGCGCGUGCGCCCCUGUGCGUUCGAGUCGCACCGCCUCCG
rnacentral:tRNA from 1 species